CAUGUGGUAAGACGCAUUGUUUACAGAAGGCUGACAGAGGUUUACAGACCGUAACCAAACAGCAAACAACAUCUGGCCGACCACGUGGAAUUCAGAGGGCCUAUUUACUCGAAAAUCUGGCGAGAAUGGAUCUCCGUCAAAAUUGAUCCAAAUUUUCGGAUUAAAUCGGCCCAAAGUCCAAAUGUAUUGUAUUCCAUUCAACAAUGGGACAGUUCUGACCGGUCUCGCCGUGUUGAUGGAAAGCGCUCCUUGAUUUCGCUGAAGACCUUGCUGUUCUAUUAUCCACUCGUAGCCACCUCAAAACAAAGAUGGACAGAUUCUCUAGCUUUGCGACUGGUCUACACAUUAACAAGAAAAAGACAGAAGUGAUGUGUAUCAUUACCAUCGCGAUGGUGAGUCUAGAGAGAAUGUAGCCGAGGACUUUACAUGCCGUGGGAGUCUUAUUAGCAGUGACAACGUGGCGCUCCAAAAUACAUCAAGGCCCAUCUCAGCAAAACCAAAGGUGCGCAUGUACAGUUGACUUCUGGAAGUCAAAACAGUACAGUAUCAAAACAAAGAUCAGAUUGCAUAACAGCAAUGUGAAGUUGGUGCUAUUGUAUGUUUCUGAGUGUUAUAGAGAGUGAUACAGAGGGACAUGGACAAAACUGACAAUGCCUUCCACAAUCGUUGUUUUCAAAGAAGAUAUAUGCAACAUCUACUGCAUGGCCACAAUAGUUAUCCAGUGAGGACCUGCAUAGGAACACUGGCUGUAAAAACCUGUUCCUAGAGUUAAAAUGAGAAGAAUUAGAUGGCCUGGUCUCAUACUAAGGACGCCCAAUGAAAGGAUCUCGAAAGUGGUCCUAAGAUGGAUAACAGCAGGCAAGAAAAAGAGGGGCAGGUCAAAAAUAUUAUGGCGCAGAACAGUGGAGGUUGAGUUGAAAGAAAUGGGCCUCUCGUGUUGCCUUCUCUCCUGGCCCAGAGCCGCGAGAAAUGGAAGAAGCUUGUUGCAUCCAAGUGGAUAAGUGGUAAGUAAUAAUUUCGAGGUAAAGAACCGUUCUUCAUUCGCACGUAUAUCAGAGUUCGUACAUACGAGGAAGAGUCAAAUUCAAGAACUUUUUAAGGACAUUCAAGGCCAUAUAUAUCAGCAAAUUCAAGGACUAAUUACUGACGAAAAGGGGUUAGAAAUCAGCAAAAUCUGACGUUGAAUUCGGUUCAAAACGGAACUUUAAUGAAUUUCAAACAGCUUUGUGAGAAAUGAACAUCAGUAAAAUCGUACAAAAUAAAAAAGUCCGUUUUGAAUGUCAAACAAUUUCAGAAAAUAUCAAAAACCUAAAGCAAAAAAAAUCUAAGGAAGUUGGCAAGAAAUAUUCAGUUUUCAAUGAAUCAUUAUGCAUGCACGGAAAAGUUACGCGUUUUCCGGCCAUGUACGCGUUUUCCAUGACCAUGUGCGCGUUUUCCAUGUACGCGUUUUCCAUGUACGCGUUUUCCAUGUACGCGUGUACGUGUACGCGUUUUCCAUGUACGCGUUUUCCAUGACCACGUACGCGUUUCCAUGUACGCGUUUUUCAUGUACGCGUGUACGUGUACGCGUUUUCUAGACAACACUCAAUAUUACAGUUACAACACGCUUAUCCAAACAUGCUUAUAAUCAUAAUAAAAAAAACUAUGACUAAUCGAAAACAACCGUUUCUAAGUUCAUAAAUAAAAUAAUAAUUUCUAAAAUGAUUCUAAAAUUUUGUGAUGCUCUUUCAAGCUGUGAUGAAAAUUUUGUCUAGACUUGUUGAGUUCAAGAUUUUGAUUAAUAUGGGAUUGGUUCAUUAUCCACAACUUCGUGUUUUUGACCAUUUCUGCUCACUUCUUCAG
rnacentral:lncRNA from 1 species